AAAGCAGGCUGCAAUUGCAGUGCUUCCUCUUGUGGGAGUACUGCCAUUCUCCUGCUGAGAGAGUCUCUGUUAACAAGUAUCCUUGGUUUCACCUGUACAGUGGUGAAACCAUUUGUUCUUAACAGGUACAAGU
ensembl:snoRNA